GGUAACUACUUAAAUCCUGUAAAGUGAGCAGUUUUCUUAUAAUGUGAAUAUAAUCACACCAAUGAAUCUAAUCUGCAAACAAAGUUUUUCUUUUUUUUCACCAGUUAGAUAUAUAGAUAGAAGACAGAAUAGGAUAGAUAGAAGGUUAAAUAAGGGGUUAGUUUUUCUUUCUAUACUUUCUAUCUGAUUGUAUUUAAUCUUUCCAAAGCAUUUUUUCUUUUUAUUGAGGACCAACUCUGACUUUAACUGUGUAUGGAAGUGUUUGGAGCCCUAAGCUUUACAAGAGACUCUGCAGUAUAACCCAUCCUUGAUCCUUAAGACUAUAGAGUGUAGUCUGGAUAGCCAGAGGCCAGGUGGCCGGGGAACCACCUAGUCAAGGAACCUUUUCACAAAACAAGUUUGAGGAUUCCUUCAACUUGAUUUCCUCUAGUUGGAGUUCUUUACCUCCCCUCCCU
rnacentral:lncRNA from 1 species